rnacentral:rRNA from 1 species
CAUUGGCUCAAGAUUGAACGCUGGCGGGAUACUUUACACAUGCAAGUCGAACGGCAGCACGGACUUCGGUCUGGUGGCGAGUGGCGAGCAGGUGAGUAAUGUAUCGGAACGUGCCGUAGCGGGGGAUAACUACGCGAAAGCGUAGCUAAUACAUACGCCCUUCGAGAAGAAAGCGAGGACCUUACCGGACACUGCGCUAUUGAGCAAUGAUAUCGGAUUAGCUAGUUGGUGGGGUAACGGCUCACCAAGGCGACGAUCCGUAGCUGGUUUGAGAGGACGACCAGAAAGCCACGCAGGACUGGGGCUUCCCCGGCCCAGACUCCUGCGGAGGCAGCGGUGGGGGAAUUUUUGGACGUGGAAACCUGAUCAACCAUCCGCGUGUGCGAUGAAGGCCUUCGGUUGUAAACCGCUUUUGACGCGGAAAGAAACAGCGCAGGAUGGCCCCAUAAGCUGGCGAACUUACCCACAGAAUAAGCGCAACUAACUACGUGCCAGCAGCCGCGGUAAUACGUAAGUGCAAAGCGAUUGAUAGGAAUUACUGGGCGUAAAGCGUGCGCAGGCGAGUUGGAAAGAUGUGAAAUCCCAGAGCUUAACUUUGGAACUGCAUUUUUAACUACCGAGCUAGAGUGUGUCAGAGAGUGGAAUUCGCGUGCUGGCAGUGAAAUGCGUAGAUAUGCGAAGGAACACCGAUGGCGGUAGCCUCCUGGGACAACCCUUCGACGCUCCAUGCACGAAAGCAAGUGGAGCGAAACAGGAUUAGAUACCCUGGUGGUCCACGCCCCUAACGAUGUCAACUAGCUGUUGGGGCCUUCGGGCUGCCAUUGGCGCAACGCGUGAAGUUGAUCGCCUGGGGAGUACGGUCACUAGCAAAGAUUAAAACUCAAGAGAUUGACGGGGACCCGCACAAGCGGUGGAUGAUGUGGAUUAAUCGAUGCAGCGAAAAGCAUACCUACCCUUGACAUCUGUCUGGAAUCCGAAGAGAUUUGGGAGUGCUCGCAAGAGAACCGGAACACGGGUGCUGCAUGGCUAUGAAAUCAGCUCGUGUCAUUGAGAUAUUGGAUUGAAGUCCACACCUUGAGCGCAACCAUGUCGUGUAUUGCUGAAAGGGCACUCUAAUCGCAGGACUGCCAUUAAACCGGAGGAAGGUGAGGAUGACGUCAAGUCCUCAUGGCUACCAUAUGGGUAGGGCUUCACACGUCAUACAAUGGUCGGGAUGAAGGUCUUAACCAUGAGAGGCCAAUCCCAGAAACCCAGUCAAUGGUCCGGAUCGCGAUCUGCAACUCGUUCGUGAUCGGAAUCGCUAGUAAUCGCGGAUCAGCAUGUCGCGGUGAAUACGUUCGGGUCUUGUGCCACCACCGCGCUGUCUACACCAUGUGGGAGUGGGUUUUACCAGGAAAUGGUUAGCCUAACCGUAAGGAGGGCGAUUACCACGGUAGGAUUCAUGACUGGGGUAGAGUCGUAACAAAGGU